GACGUAGGGGGCCAGCGUUGCUCGGAAUUACUGGGCGUAAAGGGUUCGUAGGCGGUGCGGUAAGUCGGAAGUGAAAUCUCUGGGCUUAACUCAGAGGCUGCUUUCGAAACUGCCGUGCUAGAGUGCGGGAGAGGCGAGUGGAAUUCCCGGUGUAGCGGUGAAAUGCGCAGAUAUCGGGAGGAACACCGGUGGCGAAGGCGGUUCUCUGGGCCUUACCUGACGCUGAGGAGCGAAAGCGUGGGGAGCGAACAGG
rnacentral:rRNA from 1 species